CGCUUUAAAGAUCGGUUUAAAAAACUGUGAUCUCAAAAAUGAAGAUAUUAAAUGCACCAAAAAAUGUCAAUAUUAGUAUUUUUGAUAAUAUUUCCCUUUAUCAAAAUGGUUCAAAUCCGAUUAGUGCACAAGACAAACAUUUAAAAUGGCACAUAGAACAUCAAGGUCACGAAACAAUGCAUGCCGAAAUGGUUCUUAUAAUAAUAGUUACCAUGAUAUUGGCUCAAAUAGCACUUUUUUAUUGGAGGCAUUUUUAUUUUAAAUCUUAUCAGAUGGCCACCACUCUGGGGAUGUGGGUCAUACCACUCGUCAUAUCUGUCUAUAGAUUAUACCUUAGAUACGUAACGGUCCAUCUUAUUUACAGUAUCGUUACCCUGUACAUGAUCUUCAAAUCAAGACAAAAGCCUAUGGACAGAAACAUUCCAAGAUUGGUUUACACUUGGUUUUAUAUCGUUUUCAAAAUAUCUUACGGCCUGGGGAUCAUAGGAUAUUCCGGGCUUUUAGUGUGGUUCUUUGGAUUGAACAUAAUCCUGAUGUUGCCCAUUACUUGGAUAUAUUACUUCGUGUUGGCCUUGUAUUAUGGCACCUAUUUCGGCGUUUUAAACAGGGACAUAGCUGAGAUCUGUAGUGAUAAGAUAUUUGUCGGUUCCUUAUUGAAUAUCCAAAAUCGAAAAACAGAUGAUGCCCAAGGCAACGACAAAAAUACAUGCUUUAUAUGCGGUCAAAAAAUUUUCCAACUUAUAAUAAACGACGAUCGACAAGCCAUAGAAAAAAGUUUUAGAUUGGAAUGUGGCCAUGUAUUCCACGAAUUUUGUAUCAGGGGUUGGUGCAUAGUGGGGAAAAAGCAAACUUGUCCCCAUUGCAAAGAGAAAGUUGACCUGAAAACGCUCUUCCCAAAUCCGUGGGAAAGACUACACGUAAUGUACAGCAAAAUGCUGGAUUGGGUCAGAUACUUGAUAGCAUGGCAACCACUUAUCACCCUGCUCAUAGAAGCCAUUAAUCAUCUCUUGCAUCUUAAAUAACUCUAACCUUACUACUCCGUUCAACUUAUUUAUAUUUUAUAGAGAAAACUGUAGCCCAGAAAAAGGAAUUUUUAUCUGAUCUAGAAAACAAAUUAAUGCUUGAAGAAUCAACUUCCAAAAAUGGUGAAAAUAUAUCUAUGAUCCAAAGUCUAACAAAUAUCUUUAAAUAAAUCCAGAUUAUAUUUUUAUAAAUUUUUGUAAGAUAUUUUAUGUAUAAAUAUAUUUAUUUCUCUAUGUAA